GAUGAAGAACGUAGCGAAAUGCGAUAAGUAAUACGAAUUGCAGAAUUCCAGUGAGUCAUCGAAUCUUUGAACGCACAUUGCGCCCUUUGGUAUUCCGAAGGGCAUGCCUGUUCGAGCGUCAUUAUCACCCCUCAAGCCCUCGGCUUGGUGUUGGACGGUUUGGUGGAGGCCCCCUCGGGGGCUCCUGCCCCUCCCAAAGACAAUGACGGCGGCCUCGUUGGACCCCCGGUACACUGAGUUCUUCACGGGACACGUAUCGGACACAUGGGUUUACGGGACACGGUCUGCCUCCCCUCAGGGAGAAUCUUUCUAAGGUUGACCUCGGAUCAGGUAGGGAUACCCGCUGAACUUAAGCAUAUCAAUAAGCGGAGGA
rnacentral:misc_RNA from 1 species